rnacentral:rRNA from 1 species
UACGUAGGGUGCAAGCGUUGUCCGGAAUUAUUGGGCGUAAAGAGCUCGUAGGCGGUUUGUCGCGUCUGCUGUGAAAACCCAGGGCUUAACCCUGGGCCUGCAGUGGGUACGGGCAGACUAGAGUGCGGUAGGGGAGAUUGGAAUUCCUGGUGUAGCGGUGAAAUGCGCAGAUAUCAGGAGGAACACCGAUGGCGAAGGCAGGUCUCUGGGCAUUAACUGACGCUGAGGAGCGAAAGCAUGGGGGAGCGAACAGG